rnacentral:tRNA from 1 species
GGCCAGGUGGCGAAGUGGUAACGCUGAGGUCUGCAAAACCUCCAUGCACGGGUUCGAUUCCCGUCCUGGCCUCAA